rnacentral:tRNA from 1 species
GGGAAUGUAGCUCAUUUGGGAAGAGUGCUUGUCUAGCAAGCGUGAUGCGCUGGGUUCAAUCCCCAGCAUCUUCA